AUGCAGGCUUGUGUUUGCAGGUUUGUGCUUGGUUCGAAACAAGCUUUGGUGAGGAGGGCAGGCUUAUGCUUGGUUCGAAACAGGCUUGGAGUUUAUGGUGUGAGGAGAUUUUGGUCUUCUUCUUUGUUGUCCUAUACUUGUAAAAAAAUGACAUUUAUUUCCAGAGUUGUUGCUCCAUGGUGCAAGAAGCUUAUUGAAAAUGGACAUGGUGAUGUUUGGUAUGGCUAUCCUCCUAUAGUUUGUGAUGAAGGAGACGAUGACGACGAUGGUGGUUAUGAUUAUGCUCCAGCAGCAUAA